rnacentral:rRNA from 1 species
UACGGGGGGGAGCAAGCGUUGUUCGGAUUUACUGGGCGUAAAGGGCGCGUAGGCGGUCGUGACAAGUCACUUGUGAAAUCCCCGGGCUCAACCUGGGAACUGCAUUUGUGACUGCAAGGCUAGAGUACGGUAGAGGGGGAUGGAAUUCCGCGUGUAGCAGUGAAAUGCGUAGAUAUGCGGAGGAACACCGAUGGCGAAGGCAAUCCCCUGGACCUGUACUGACGCUCAUGCACGAAAGCGUGGGGAGCAAACAGG